rnacentral:rRNA from 1 species
AGCGAACGCUAGCGGCGGGCCUAACACAUGCAAGUCGAGCGGGGAGCAAUCCCAGCGGCGAACGGGUGAGUAACACGUGGGUAAUGUGCCUUCUGGUGGGGAAUAACCUUGGGAAACCAGGGCUAAUACCGCAUAUCGUGCUUCGGCAUGAAAGCCUUCGGGCGCCAGUAGAGCAGCCUGCGUCCCAUUAUUUAGUCCUAGUUGGUAGGGUAAUGGCCUACCAAGGGUACGAUGGGUAGCUGGUCUGAGAGGAUGAUCAGCCACACUGGAACUGAGACACGGUCCAGACUCCUACGGGAGGCAGCAGUGGGGAAUAUUGCGCAAUGGGGGAAACCCUGACGCAGCCACGCCGCGUGAGUGAUGAAGGCCUCGGUUGUAAGCGUCUGUCGGGAGGGACGAAGGGAGCGAAUACUCUGACGGUACC